rnacentral:rRNA from 1 species
AGCGAACGCUGGCGGCAGGCUUAACACAUGCAAGUCGAGCGGGCAUAGCAAUAUGUCAGCGGCAGACGGGUGAGUAACGCGUGGGAACGUACCUUUUGGUUCGGAACAACUGAGGGAAACUUCAGCUAAUACCGGAUAAGCCCUUUCGGGGAAAGAUUUAUCGCCGAAAGAUCGGCCCGCGUCUGAUUAGCUAGUUGGUGAGGUAAUGGCUCACCAAGGCGACGAUCAGUAGCUGGUCUGAGAGGAUGAUCAGCCACAUUGGGACUGAGACACGGCCCAAACUCCUACGGGAGGCAGCAGUGGGGAAUAUUGGACAAUGGGCGCAAGCCUGAUCCAGCCAUGCCGCGUGAGUGAUGAAGGCCCUAGGGUUGUAAAGCUCUUUUGUGCGGGAAGAUAAUGACGGUACCGCAAGAAUAAGCCCCGGCUAACUUCGUGCCAGCAGCCGCCGUAACAC